CCUACGGGAGGCAGCAGUGAGGAAUCUUCCACAAUGGGCGAAAGCCUGAUGGAGCAAUGCCGCGUGCAGGAUGACGGCCUUCGGGUUGUAAACUGCUUUUAUAUGGGAAGAUUAUGACGGUACCAUAUGAAUAAGGACCGGCUAACUACGUGCCAGCAGCCGCGGUAAUACGUAGGGUCCAAGCGUUAUCCGGAAUCACUGGGCGUAAAGCGUUUGUAGGCGGAAAUCUAAGUGAGAUGCGAAAUCUUGUGGCUCAACCAUAUAGACGGUAUCUCAUACUGGGUUUCUAGAAGAUAGCAGAGGUAAGUGGAAUUAGUAGUGUAGCGGUAAAAUGCGUAGAUAUUACUAGGAACACCAAUGGCGAAGGCAGCUUACUGGGCUAUAUUUGACGCUGAGAAACGAAAGCGUGGGGAGCGAACAGGAUUAGAUACCCUGGUAGUCCACGCCGUAAACGAUGUGUGCUAUUAGUUCGAGGUAUCGACCCCUUGGGCUGAACAGCUAACGCGUUAAGCACACCGCCUGGGGAGUACGAGCGCAAGCUUAAAACUCAAAGAUAGUAGCGNGNGAGAGCGACGACGACGACGACGGAGGAGAGG
rnacentral:rRNA from 1 species